AAUUGUUUCCUCGAGUCGUUGAUUUCACACUGCCGAGAAAAGCCUCUAGCUAGAUUUAUGGUGCCCGUACCGCAAACCGACACAGGUAGUCAAGAUGAGAAUUCUAAGGUGAGCGAGCGAACUCUCGUUAAGGAACUCGGCAAAAUGACCCCGUAACUUCGGGAGAAGGGGUGCUCUUUAGGGUUCACGCCCAGGAGAGCCGCAGUGAAUAGGCCCAAGCGACUGUUUAUCAAAAACACAGGUCUCUGCUAAACCGUAAGGUGAUGUAUAGGGGCUGACGCCUGCCCGGUGCUGGAAGGUUAAUUGUUUCCUCGAGUCGUUGAUUUCACACUGCCGAGAAAAGCCUCUAGCUAGAUUUAUGGUGCCCGUACCGCAAACCGACACAGGUAGUCAAGAUGAG
rnacentral:rRNA from 1 species